rfam:Oryza sativa Japonica Group DNA, chromosome 1, cultivar: Nipponbare, complete sequence.
AAAAAGACAAACACUGGGUUUCCGUGUCCAACUUUGACUGUCCGUCUUAUAUGAAAUUUUUUUAUAAUUCGUAUUUUCAUUGUUGUUAGAUGAUAAAAUAUGAUUAAUAUUUUAUAUGUGACUUGUCUUUUAAAUUUUUAUAUAUUUUUUUCAAAUAAGACGGACGGUCAAACGUUGGACACGGAAACCAGAGUUUGUUUUACG